rnacentral:rRNA from 1 species
UACAGAGGUCUCAAGCGUUGUUCGGAUUCAUUGGGCGUAAAGGGUGCGUAGGUGGCGGGGUAAGUCAGGUGUGAAAUUUCGGAGCUUAACUCCGAAACUGCAUUUGAUACUGCCUUGCUUGAGGACUGGAGAGGAGACUGGAAUUCACGGUGUAGCAGUGAAAUGCGUAGAUAUCGUGAGGAAGACCAGUGGCGAAGGCGGGUCUCGUGGACAGUUCCUGACACUGAGACACGAAGGCCAGGGGAGCAAACGGG